rnacentral:rRNA from 1 species
ACGAACGCUGGCGGCGUGCUUAACACAUGCAAGUCGAACGGAAAGGCCCUGCUUUUGUGGGGUGCUCGAGUGGCGAACGGGUGAGUAACACGUGAGUAACCUGCCCUUGACUUUGGGAUAACUUCAGGAAACUGGGGCUAAUACCGGAUAGGAGCUCCUGCUGCCUGGUGGGGGUUGGAAAGUUUCGGCGGUUGGGGAUGGACUCGCGGCUUAUCAGCUUGUUGGUGGGGUAGUGGCUUACCAAGGCUUUGACGGGUAGCCGGCCUGAGAGGGUGACCGGCCUCAUUAGGACUGAGAUACGGCCCAGACUCCUACGGGAGGCAGCAGUGGGGAAUAUUGCACAAUGGGCGGGAGCCUGAUGCAGCAACGCCGCGUGCGGGAUGACGGCCUUCGGGUUGUAAACCGCUUUCGCCUGUGACGAAGCGUGAGUGACGGUAAUGGGUAAAGAAGCACCGGCUAACUACGUG